AACGAACGCUGGCGGCAUGCCUAACACAUGCAGGUCGAACGAGACCUUCGGGUCUAGUGGCGCACGGGUGCGUAACGCGUGGGAACCUGCCCUUAGGUUCGGAAUAACUAUCCGAAAGGGGUGCUAAUACCGGAUAAUGUCUUCGGACCAAAGAUUUAUCGCCUUUGGAUGGGCCCGCGUUGGAUUAGCUAGUUGGUAGGGUAAAAGCCUACCAAGGCGACGAUCCAUAGCUGGUCUGAGGGGAUGAUCAGCCACACUGGGACUGAGACACGGCCCAGACUCCUACGGGGGGCAGCAGUGGGGAAUAUUGGACAAUGGGCGAAAGCCUGAUCCAGCAAUGCCGCGUGAGUGAUGAAGGCCCUAGGGUUGUAAAGCUCUUGUACCCGGGAUGAUAAUGACAGUACCGGGAGAAUAAGCUCCGGCUAACUCCGUG
rnacentral:rRNA from 1 species